AAAUGAUUCUUAUCUCUUUUUGGAGAGAUGGCCGAGAGGAUUAAAGCGUCGGAUUGCUAAUCCGUC
rnacentral:tRNA from 2 species